rnacentral:rRNA from 1 species
UGCCAGAGUGAUAUCUCCCUGCAGUUAUUGCCUGGUGUCCCACUGAAGCUAAGCAGUGUUGAGCCUGAUCAGUAGCUGGAUGGGAGAUCUUCAGGGAAAAACUAAGACUAAUGCUGGAAG